AUCUAGCCCCGACUGGAGUGGAAAUCCUUUUUGUUUUUUAUUAAAAACAAAAAGAUUGUAGCGUAAGGCGGGAACUGAC
rnacentral:sRNA from 1 species